GACGAACGCUGGCGGCGUGCUUAACACAUGCAAGUCGAACGGAAAGGCCCCCACCUUGGUGGGGGUGCUCGAGUGGCGAACGGGUGAGUAACACGUGGGUGAUCUGCCCUGUACUUCGGGAUAAGCUUGGGAAACUGGGUCUAAUACCGGAUAGGACCAUGGUUUAGUGUCUCAUGGUGGAAAAAUUAUUGUUUUGGUGCAGGAUGAGCUCGCGGCCUAUCAGCUUGUUGGUGGGGUAAUGGCCUACCAAGGCGUCGACGGGUAGCCGGCCUGAGAGGGUGGACGGCCACAGUGGGACUGAGAUACGGCCCAGACUCCUACGGGAGGCAGGAGUGGGGGAUAGUGCACAAUGGGCGCAAGCCUGAUGCAGCGACGGCGCGGGGGGGAUGACGGCCUUCGGGUUGUAAACUCCUUUCGUUAGGGACGAAGCCACACCUUUUUGGGGUGUGGUGACGGUACCUUUGUUAAGAAGCACCGGCUAACUACGUG
rnacentral:rRNA from 1 species